rnacentral:rRNA from 1 species
UACGUAGGGUGCGAGCGUUGUCCGGAAUUAUUGGGCGUAAAGAGCUCGUAGGCGGUGUGUCACGUCGGCCGUGAAAACCUGCAGCUUAACUGUGGGCGUGCGGUCGAUACGGGCAGACUAGAGUUCGGCAGGGGGAGACUGGAAUUCCUGGUGUAGCGGUGAAAUGCGCAGAUAUCAGGAGGAACACCGGUGGCGAAGGCGGUUCUCUGGGCAUUACCUGACGCUGAGGAGCGAAAGUGUGGGGAGCGAACAGG